rnacentral:misc_RNA from 1 species
GUGCGCGGGCUGGCAAGAGGCAUCCAAAAUGCCGUCGACUGCUGAUCAGAAGGCUGCGCUGCCUACACAAACGGAGAAACCAAACCAUUACAAUUACCUGAAGGAGUUCCGUGUCGAGCAGUGUCCGCUGUUCGUGCAGCACAAGUGCACACAGCACAAGCCGUUCACAUGCUUUCACUGGCACUUCAAGAAUCAACGGCGCAGAAGACCCAUACGGCUCGCGCGAGACGGCACAUUCAACUACAGCCCUGAUGUGUACUGCACAAACUACGACGAGACGACAGGGAUAUGCCCCGACGGUGACGGGUGCCGCUUUCUGCACCGGACGGCGGGGGACACGGAGCGUCGCUACCAUCUACGUUACUACAAGACAGGCAUCUGUGUGUACGACACGGAUGCUCGGGGCAACUGCGUCAAAAAUGGACCCCACUGCGCCUUUGCACACGGCCUGCACGACCUGCGCUCGCCCGUCUAUGACGCCAAGGAGCAGCAGGCAUGCCUGGCCGGCGACGGCAGUUCGGCCAAUGGCCCUGACGACGCCACAAAUGGCGGACCCAACAGCUUGGACAAGGAGCGGAAUGCGCUCAACGAGGACCCGCAUUGGCAGGAUACAAAAUAUGUUUUAACUAACUACAAAACUGAGCCAUGCAAACGGCCACCCCGGCUCUGCCGGCAGGGUUAUGCGUGCCCCCAGUACCACAAUAGCCGAGACAAACGACGAAGCCCAAAGAAAUAUAAAUACAGAUCAACACCGUGCCCCAACGUGAAGCAAGGUGAUGAGUGGGGGGACCCCGCCAACUGCGACAACGGUGACAGCUGCUCCUACUGCCACACACGCACCGAGCAGCAGUUCCACCCGGAGAUCUACAAGUCAACCAAGUGCAAUGACAUGCAGCAGGCCAACUACUGCCCCCGGGGACCAUUCUGCGCUUUUGCGCACGUCGAGAAGGAGAUCUCGGCCGUCCGAGACCUCGGGCCCGACUACUCCACCAACCUGGCCGCCAUCUUAUCCAGUGCCCUGCCCUCUUCGUCAUCCUCGGCAAAUCACCAGGGCAGUUCCGGUUCCCCGGCCUGCAAGAAUGACAACCCUUUCUCACACGUUGGGUCACACGAUCACAUGGCCGAGCAGCAGCAGCAACAUGCGGCGUCUUUAGGUGAGAAAGCGUGGUAUGCUGCGCAAGCAAAUGAUUGUAGCAACAACCCAUUGCCCAACCCCAUUGGACGGCCCCGCUCAUAUAGUUCUUCCACUAACCACUCCUCCGAGUCGUUACCACUGCACCAGAAGGCCCCAGGCUCUGAACGAGAGGACCGUGAGGCAAGCAUUCGCAAGCAGCUCAAGGCCAUUGACAAUGAGCCCAUGGCGGACCCCCUGGAGAAGGCGCGCCUCAAGCAGGACGUCUGGCUGGUACACGGGCUCACACCACCCCCGAUGACGUCUACAGCCUCCUCCUCUUCGUCUUUUUACCACUCUACAAACACAGUGGAAUCGGUUGUCGGUGUAGCACUUGACGACCUUAGCCUGGAAGACAUCAAUGUUGAGGCUUCUUUAGACAAGGACCUAGAAAAUGAUUCCAACCCCGUGAGCACAUCAAUAACGCAAGGGCUAACGAGUUCAGGUUUGCUAGGAAGUUCUGCACCUAUGAACAUUCCGGGGGCAAGCGGCAUGCACUGCAAUCGGCGGCUCGGCGGCAACAUGUCACCCCCCGUGGGCUCUCUGCCCCACAGCCUUGGCCUGCAGUCCAGCCACGACCAUGCUAUGGACAAGGCGGCUGCAGCCUUUUACAGCCACUCCGGUGGAGCGGGCUCCUUCUCGGGACCCAAGUACCCGGGCUUCCCGGGCAUGUACGACUUCAGCCAGGGGGCACUGUCGUCCCCAUCUUCGUCACACUUGCUCUGGGAUGACCGAAUGGCCCCCAAGGCGCCCCCGGGGCUGCACCAGCCCAUGCCGGGCUCGUGGGAGGAAGGCCUGGUGCAGGCGCGAGUCGUGUAUGAGGCAUGGAAGCGGGAAGUAGAAGAGGCCAAGCACAGGGAAAAGAUGGCUGAAUGCCAACGAGAUGAGGCCCUGGGUCAGAUGGCUCUACUGCAGAAGGAGCUGGAGGCCCUGGCGUCUGGGCGGGCGGCCGGCUUUGGGCCCCUGCGGCUGCAGGAGCUCGAGAAGCUGCCGGCCACCCAGCUGCGCCUGCUCCAGGAACAGCUGCGGGCCGACCUAGAUGCCGUGGACAAGGUUCUUUACCAGCAGCAGUGCAAGAGCAAGUGCCUGGUAUGCCAGCAGCAUAACCGCAGCGUGGCUGUGCUUCCCUGCAACCACCUGGUGCUGUGCGGCACGUGCGCGGCUGUCACGACCAAGUGCCCCUACUGCAGCUGCGACAUCGCGCGCAACAGCCUGCCCAUGUCCCUGUAGGGCACGUCCCUUCUGAGCCAGCGUCGUGGGAAGGCAUGCAAUCCACUUACGCUCCGUUUUUUAGAAAAAAUUCUCUCUACCCAUCGUGAUGCGAGGGCUUUUGCGUCGAGUCGUGGCCCCCGGGCAGCCUGCAGGAGCUGGUAGUGGGCAGAAGGUGCUGAAGAUGAUGUGUUUUAGCCGCCUCAAGCAGCUCAAACGUGCCGCAGUGUGGGUGGUGGGACUUGACUAACGCACACUUCCAGUUUGAGAGGGUGGCCCCGGCUGUGACGACAUGGGCAAGCGUGUUUCGCCUUAGGUGCGGGCUGUAAGGGCUCCCUGGCCCUCUCCUUUUUCCUUACCCGUGCUGGUGGUUCUGUGCCUGCAUUUGAUCGACCGACGUCCUUUACUUGGGCUGCAGACGACGUAUUAGCAAAUAUGUGUCAUAGUUGAACAGUUCAAAAAAAGUGCACGAACCACUGCGUGCAGUUUACAAGCGCGAUCGUUUCGCGGGACUUGUCGGUGACUGCUGCUGUGCACCGGGUGGCUGCUUUAUGUGCGGCUAAGGCUAAAUUGAGUGUGCAGAAGACAAGCUUUUUGGAGCACGAACUGGUCCCAGAAUGGAAUGGUAGCUAAAGUGCUCUCAGCUGGUGCUUUGUUCUGUCUGUCGCAAACUGGCUAUGAAAGUGCACCGGUCAUGGGAGAUUAGAUCCAAAGAUGUGCUGGUUAGGGCAUAACUAGGGAAGCCACUCUUUAGUUGGCAUACACUUGUUGGUGGUUGCCGCAUCUGAAGACGCACUUUGUUUUUGAGCCCUGCUGAUGAACUGGUUGUCAUAACAGUGGUACUCAACUGUGCUUGAAAAAAAGUUGGAUGUCUGCUGGUUUUAGCCUGCUGGGAAAACUGCGUAACCUUUAUAAAUUCUUCAUUGACUUUCUUUGUACCAGGUUCUUUUAAAGCACUGGUAUCUUUGUCACUGUUGAAUUGUUCGUAACAAUUGCUGGUACCAGCUCUAUGAAUUAUGUUUUUGCUUAUUUCAUUAGAUGAAGUAGGCUGAAAAUCAUAUUAGCAUUCUGUAAUCAGUUACAUCCAGCAGCUUCUGAUUAGAGUACCUUAUUUUAUGUUGACUGUGUUUCCAACAGAUACAGUUGAGUCAGCAAGCAGCAGAUUAAGGGCACGAUCGUAGUCUGUUUUCUGUGUUGUGCUGCUAGAGAUACCAGUCACGGUUUUCAACGAAGUGGUGAUUGUGAUGUUUUUAUUUUCGACCGCUGCAUUGGUAGGUUUUGUGCGUUGAAGAGUGCAUUCUCACAAGUCCUAAGCUG